CACGUAUCCGCGGACCGCCAAUCAACGUCUCCCACCUUAUCUACAAAGGACAUGAUACUCUUGGAAAAACGGGCAAGUUCGGUAGCUCAAGGAAAGCCUGAGGUCCAGGAUGACUACACAGAAGAGAAGCUGGUGUUCUGAGUGUAACAGAUGCCAUCAUCAAUAACAGGACAAGAUGUGUCUCCCAGCAUAUGAAUCAACACCACCAAGGGGAUGAGUCAGCCAUAUUUAACAUGUCACUCAAGAGCGGUAUCGGUUGGAGCCCAGUCAGUCAAACAAGAAACUUCAAUAGGAAAACAUGACUCAUAAAAAAGCAGGCGCCGCAUCAAGACAGGCAGAGACAGGGUUGUUGCAGACAUGGUGGUGGACGGAAACUGUUGGACGUUUGGACAACCGCUGAG